UACGUAGGGUGCACGCGUUGUCCGGAAUUAUUUGGCGUAAAGAGCUCGUAGGCGGUCUGUUGCGUCGGCUGUGAAAACCCGGGGCUCAACUCCGGGCCUGCAGCCGAUACGGGCAGACUAGAGUUCGGCAGGGGAGACUGGAAUUCCUGGUGUAGCGGUGAAAUGCGCAGAUAUCAGGAGGAACACCGGUGGCGAAGGCGGGUCUCUGGGCCGAUACUGACGCUGAGGAGCGAAAGCGUGGGGAGCGAACAGG
rnacentral:rRNA from 1 species